UGGCCUGAGGUGUGGAAGGUAUGGUGUUUAUGUGGUGUAGGUUAUGAAGGCAAAUGGAAGGCUGAAUUGUCUCCGGAAUUGAUUUGCUGCAUAGCUUUGCUUUGCUGCAUAGCGUUGCUUGGCAUGUUCCGCAGUAACAUUGGCAAUAGUUUGGCUGCGGAAUACUUAGUUUGCUGCCCAAGAGUUACAUGCGUGGAAUAUCUUCUCAGGAUUCAUAGUCCCACGGCAAGCAAGUUUCGUCUUUCAUAUAGUAGCUAUGCCAAAAUACACUCUGUCAUGGUCAUGAAUUUAUGCAGGGUUACUGCAUAAUUGUGCAGAAUGCUAAGGCCUUUGCUGCAUAAUUAUGCAGGGAACCUAGGUUUCAAAAGUGAUGUUUUUGCUUGUUUGUUAUGAUUAUGGAUUUGUAAGCAAGAUGAGGGUUUAGUUACUUGUAUAAGGGUUAUAUAAGAUGCCAAAAUACACGUAUUUUUUUAAUUUAUUUAUUAAAAAAAUACAAACUUUUGUUUAUUAGUCCAAAAAAUAAUAAUAAAAUUUUCCAUUGUACAUUAGUUUAGAAGGUUGGUAUUAAAUGCAUUUUAUAGUUUCAUGAAAUUUGAUGCAUUUAUUUUUAUUUAACAUUUUCUUAUAAGAAAAUGAAGUUGGAUUUCUGUAUGGAUUAUAAAAGGAGGAUAUAACGUUUUUUUUUUUUGAAGAAUAGUAUGUACAAGGGUAAGAUGAAGAGAAGGAUAACUUUCUAAUAAGGUGUAAGGGAAAGCAUAUAGACAAUGAAAAACGAAAAAGAUGCGGACUUACACCUCAUUUAAUUAACAAUCCUCACUCAUGGGUGAUUUUGUAAUUUUGAAGUUUAAAUGAAAAGAGUAAGUAAACUAAGAAGAAUAUUGUAAAUUAUACCAUGUUUGAACUCCUCUCAACUAUUUACAGACGAAGUGAUACUUCCUUAAAAUGAAGUUCCCUUAAUGUAGUGUAGGUCAACUUAGAUCGAAUCCAAAAACAACAUCACAUGCACAAAACUUAUUAUAUACAAUCUUUCAGUUACAAAGGGGAAAGAAAUUGAGAUUUAAACAAAACUAUAGCCAAAUGAAAAUUGCAGUAAAUCUAACACUAGAUUGUUUGCAGAUGAUCGUAUGAUAAACUCUCUAGUGAACCUAAAUAUGCAGACGAAAAAAUAAACAAUAUGAAGGUAAGGACAUGAAAAUAAAAGGUAAUGCAAAUGAAAAGAGAAGUGAAGAACAAAAUCAGUAAGACGCAACUGUCAUAACAUCGAGUCUGCAAUCGCAUGCUAGUUCGUUUGAUGAUUGCUUAACAAAAAAAGAAACAAGUUCAAUGAAAUUUAUGACCUUCGUAAAUGACCCUCACGUCACUUAUCAAAAAAAUUGAGUGUUAUCGCUUAACAAAUCAUCUGACGUGAAGUGAAAAUGAACAAAAACAUAUAUAGUAGAAAAUACAUAAAUGAGUGGAAACGUAAAUUGCAGAAAACUAAAGUGUUGAAACUUAAAAUGCGGAGAAACUAAAGUGCAAGAAAUGUAA
rnacentral:lncRNA from 1 species